rnacentral:rRNA from 1 species
UACGUAGGGCGCAAGCGUUGUCCGGAAUUAUUGGGCGUAAAGAGCUCGUAGGCGGUCUGUCGCGUCGGAUGUGAAAGCCCGGGGCUUAACCCCGGGUCUGCAUUCGAUACGGGCAGACUAGAGUGUGGUAGGGGAGAUCGGAAUUCCUGGUGUAGCGGUGAAAUGCGCAGAUAUCAGGAGGAACACCGGUGGCGAAGGCGGAUCUCUGGGCCUUACCUGACGCUCAGGCGCGAAAGCUAGGGGAGCGAACUGG